rnacentral:rRNA from 1 species
CCUACGGGGUGCAGCAGUGAGGAAUAUUGGUCAAUGGGCUUACGCCUGAACCAGCCAAGUCGCGUGAGGGAAGACUGCCCUAUGGGUUGUAAACCUCUUUUGUCAGGGAGCAACGCCGGCUACGUGUAGCCGGACUGAGAGUACCUGAAGAAAAAGCAUCGGCUAACUCCGUGCCAGCAGCCGCGGUAAUACGGAGGAUGCGAGCGUUAUCCGGAUUUACUGGGUGUAAAGGGCGUGUAGGCGGGGAAGCAAGUCAGAUGUGAAAACCACGGGCUCAACCUGUGGCCUGCAUUUGAAACUGUUUUUCUUGAGUACUGGAGAGGCAGACGGAAUUCCUAGUGUAGCGGUGAAAUGCGUAGAUAUUAGGAGGAACACCAGUGGCGAAGGCGGCCUACUGGGCUUUAACUGACGCUGAGGCACGAAAGCGUGGGUAGCAAACAGGAUUAGAUACCCUGGUAGUC